CCAAAUAUAGCAUUUCUUUUUUGUCUUCUCACAAUAAUUAACCCACAAACAAAAUACCCAAUUCUUCUUUCAGCUUUAGCAACCAAAAAAACUCAAUCUUGGAACCCCAAAUUGCGUUUAAAUCUCAAAUUAAGGUAUGAUCAUGGAUCAAAAACGAAAAGGGUCAAAUCUUGAUGAAACAAAGAAAUUAAAAAAAAAAGGG
rnacentral:misc_RNA from 1 species